rnacentral:sRNA from 1 species
UUAUAGCCCCGAUGGGAACGGCAUCCUUUUUAUUUUUUCUUGUCAUUACUUUGUUUGGAUGACAAAUCUUUUGAAAAAAUAAAAAGAUAUAGUGGACAGCGGGAUUAAGC